ensembl:lncRNA
UGACUUAGAACUCCUCUGCUCUUCACUGCCUGACAUCUGUAGGAGUACGGUGGCAAGUUUUCCUUUAGAAGCUGCUGAAGACAACGGGGACUCUCUUUCAGAAGGGUUUGUUUUUAGCUAAUGCAUUAAUUGACUCCAAAAAGAGUCCAAAUGGAACACUCUGCUUUCAUCUGCUGGGGUAACCUAAUAAAAUAAUGUUGUUUGUUUUUAGACUCCCGGCUGGUAAGGGGGGUUUUGCUCAAGGCAAAACCACAGUCCCCUCGAAUAACUUUAGAAGGAGAGUUAAGAAGACACACUAAUUGUGCCUGUCUGAGGUUUGCUCCUUCAAGGGCCCAGACACACCCCUUGCACACUGGUCUGGCCACCAGGGCUCCGGUGCCCACCGCCAAGUUGAUUCUUCUGGGCUGGGCUGGGCUCCUGCCCCCUGGAAGAUGCUUGAUUUUGCUGUGAGCAGUUCUUAAGGAAAUUUUAAAAGCAGACUCAAGCUCUCGGAACAGACUCAGGCAAGCACGCUGUAUAUGCGAUUCGUCUGACGCACAGAAUGGGGAAAGGGGAAUUCAGGUUAAUGAAAGAUGACUGAUUACAACAGGCUCCUUAACUUUCAUCACCCCCUCCUCCAUCCUUUGCUACUUAGCCAAGCUCUUGCUCUGGUGUGUUACUGGGCUGCUUUCAAAUAAGAGGGGGACAAGUAAUCCUGCCCCAGCCUGGAGUUCUUCAGCCAGUCAGAACUCAUUAAAUAUGAGUAUUACACGCCAGGAAUGAUCCUGUGAAACCCUUCCCACAUCCCUUAAUGUAGAUACUAUUUUACCCCAUGUGACAAAUGAGGAAACCAAGACUCAGGUUAAAUAUCUUGCUCAUGGUCCCAGCUAGCAAAUAAGGAUGCUAAAAUUUGAAUCCAGGUCUGAUGGCAGCCCGAGGCCCUGUUCUUUCUAUAUGAGCAUUUCUCAACCCAGUAGAGGGAGUUCAUAUGAUCGGCUAUGCCCAGAAUUUCUUACUGUCUCCAGUUCUCAGUAUCAGAUGUAUCAUUCCUAGCUCAGAGCCGAAGGGAAGGGUGAUCUCCGGUUACUGUUGUAAGUACAUUUGCUAUCUCAGGACAAUUCCAGAGCUUGAGGACCAGGUGAAUCCUGACAAGCCUUUUGAGGUUCAUCUUAAACUAUUUUACAGCCUAUUAAAGUCAGUAAAGAGAGGAUUAAGGUACACUUGAAGCAUUUGCCCCACGGGUUUAAAAUUGGAAGGUAAUGUGGAAAAAGCAGAGAUAAAUUUACAAACUGUUACAGUGCAACGUGAUAUGACGUGAACUGAACUGGACCAUCUUAAAAAUCUCUACUGUAAUUGGAAAAUGCCGUUCUUCAACAAAAGUUGGAAAUAAUGGAAAAGCAACUUAAAAAGGAGUGAUCUCAAAAUGUGAAUUUUUGUUUUGAAGCAGAAUUUCCAAUUGAAAGCAGAGACUUCUCCACACUUUUAAUCUCAGCCUUUGUCCAGUCUCAUUAUGAAAUGUGUAUU